GCAAACUUGGUCAUUUAGAGGAAGUAAAAGUCGUAACAAGGUCUCCGUUGGUGAACCAGCGGAGGGAUCAUUACUGAGACUUAAUCUCUACCCUUGUGAACUAUACUUAGUGUUGCUUCGGCAGGUUUCCCUGGGAGGGAAUACUGCGAGGGCAUAGCCCAUGAGCACCUGCCAGAGGCAUUUUUACUCUUGGUUUUAGUGUAUUUCUGAGUAUUUUUUAAUAAGAAAAACUUUCAGCAACGGAUCUCUUGGUUCUGGCAUCGAUGAAGAACGCAGC
rnacentral:misc_RNA from 1 species